rnacentral:rRNA from 1 species
UACAGAGGUGGCAAGCGUUGUUCGGAAUUACUGGGCGUAAAGGGCGCGUAGGCGGCCUUCUAAGUCAGACGUGAAAUCCCCCGGCUUAACCUGGGAACUGCGUCUGAUACUGGGAGGCUUGAGUAUGGGAGAGGGAUGUAGAAUUCCAGGUGUAGCGGUGAAAUGCGUAGAUAUCUGGAGGAACACCGGUGGCGAAGGCGGCGUUCUGGACUGUAUCUGACACUGAGGAACGAAAGCCAGGGGAGCAAACGGG